rnacentral:pre_miRNA from 1 species
AUAACAAUAUUCGGACCGUCGGUCUACCGAACGAUAUAACCCGCUCGGUGGAAGAUCUUCCCUUUGUCGUAUACU